rnacentral:rRNA from 1 species
UACGUAGGGUACGAGCGUUGUCCGGAAUUACUGGGCGUAAAGAGCUCGUAGGUGGUUUGUCACGUCGUCUGUGAAAUUCCGGGGCUUAACCUCGGGCGUGCAGGCGAUACGGGCAAUACUUGAGUGCUGUAGGGGAGACUGGAAUUCCUGGUGUAGCGGUGAAAUGCGCAGAUAUCAGGAGGAACACCAAUGGCGAAGGCAGGUCUCUGGGCAGUUACUGACGCUGAGGAGCGAAAGCAUGGGGUAGCGAACAGGAUUAGAUACCCCCCGUAGU